UCUUCACAACGGAGAAAACCACUUCCAAGUUCCAAGUUCUAAGUUCCAAGUUCCAUGGCAUUCGCAUCUCCUUCCUCUACACUUCAUCUUCUUCCUCAAUUUCAAUGGCAAUCUGAAUCAUUCUCCAGAUUUGGAUUCUCCUCUCAAUUUUGUCGUCUUCUCGCCGGUUCCAUCGUUGCUCAUCCCAUGACUUGGUCGAACUAAAUUAUGUUCGCCACAUGGUCACGGAUGUGUCCUGUCCUACUAAGAACCUUGAUCUCAGACUAAUGCUAUGCACCAAAAGGAUUAUAGCAGCUCCAAAAAUUUUACACAGAUUCUGUUUUUGAAUUACCAAGUCUAGAGAGAACUGAACUGACGAAGAACACGACAAGUUUCUAGAAGCUCUUCAGCUGUUUUCACAUCAUUGUCUAUUACAGAACCUCAAAUUGAUCAAUCCCCAAGGUCCCCACACCAUUUGCGGACCUGAAGGAAAUUAAAGACGGCUUUGAUGUUGAGCUUGUUUUCUCCGAGGCGGCUCUCAUGGGUUUCCAGUAAUGAAGGUAGAGCUAACUGUUGCAGAAGUAGAGUCACUUUGAUAUGAACUUACUGAUAUAGAGGAGAGGGAAGCUCAUUUGAAAGCUUCGAAUAUGGUCAUCGUGUUAGGGUGGCAACUCAUUCUAAUUUCAGCACAUUUGUGAAGUCAGCUGGUGUAAAUUUCUACCUGUUGGGUGGCGAUCCACGUGUAUUGGCAGGAUGUACGAGUUUCUAGCUCAAGCAGAUAAAUACAUUUUUCUAGGAUUAGUAUAAGGACUAAGUUUUUUUAUGUACUGUGUAUCACUUUUUCUUUUUUUUUUUUAUAUAGAAUGUUCAUAGAGUUUAAGUGCUAUAAAUAUUUUUUUCUUUUUUCAUUUUAUUUGCAUCACGAAGCAAAUUUGUACCAUGAUUAUUGAUUAAUGAAA